rnacentral:lncRNA from 1 species
UUGAGUUGUUGUAGAGCUUUCUUAAGCUUUCCUUAGAGAAACUAUCCAAGUGUUCAGUAAUGUGCAUGGACUAAGUCCUAAAAGCAGAACAUAUCUGAUUGUGUGAGCUCUCAAAACAGAGUGCAUAGAGAAGGCCUGGAAAGAGGUAUUAAAUUCAUUCUGUUUCUCAUACAGGAGCAGCUAUUCCUCCAGUGAUGCUAUUGAGAAGAGAUGACUUGGAGAAGCCAAGCUAUUAGAGGAUGUCACCCAUGCAGCGUUCCAGAAUGGGACCAUCCCUGGUGUUACAGCCAAGAGAAGAGGCACUUGGGAAGUCUGCUAAACCCAGGAACAAAGGAUGGAAAAUAACAUAACAUCUGAGGUACUAAUGCAGCACCCACCUGUCUCCAGCCUCUGCAAGCCUCUCUCACUCCUACAGCUGGACCCAGACUGCCUGACAACUCGAUUGUCUUUCAGUCAGCAGGUUUGGCCUCCCCCGUGGCUGAAAGGUGCCUUGCUACAUGGAACAGACUGUUCCCCAUGCACAGCUGCAGUGUGGGAUCACAAGGAGACCGGCACAGCAACAAGAUAUUUCCAUGCUGCAAACCAGUCCAAUGCUCUGGGGAAGAAGCUUAGAACUGAUCCCUAG